CCCUUAGAUGUUCUGGGCUGCACGCGCGCUACACUGAUACUUUCAGCGAGUCCACCACCUUGCCUGGGAGGGUGGGGUAACCUCUGGAAAGUGCAUCGUGAUGGGGAUCGAUUAUUGUAAUUAUUAAUCUUCAACGAGGAAUUCCUAGUAAGCAUGUGUCAUCAGCCCGUGCUGAUUACGUCCCUGCCCUUUGUACACACCGCCCGUCGCUCCUACCGAUUGAGUGAUCCGGUGAGGCUCUGGGACCUGGACGGAAAGAGCGUUUCGCUUGUUCUGUUUGGGAAACUUGGUCGAACCUUAUCAUUUAGAGGAAGGAGAAGUCGUAACA
rnacentral:rRNA from 1 species